GCCAGUGUGGUGUAGCGGUUUGAGCACGGCACUAUUACUCUGGAGAUCAGUGUUCAAUUCCCUGCUUGGCCA